CCCGCUGAACUUAAGCAUAUCAAUAAGCGGAGGAAAAGAAACCAACCGGGAUUGCCUCAGUAACGGCGAGUGAAGCGNCAACAGCUCAAAUUUGAAAUCUGGCCCUCGUGGUCCGAGUUGUAAUUUGUAGAGGACGCUUCGGGCGCGGCACCGGUCUAAGUCCCUUGGAACAGGGCGUCAUGGAGGGUGAGAAUCCCGUAUGCGACCGGCCGCCAACCCCAUGUGAGGCCCCUUCGACGAGUCGAGUUGUUUGGGAAUGCAGCUCAAAAUGGGUGGUAAAUUUCAUCUAAAGCUAAAUACCGGCCAGGGACCGAUAGCGCACAAGUAGAGUGAUCGAAAGAUGAAAAGCACUUUGGAAAGAGAGUUAAACAGUACGUGAAAUUGUUGAAAGGGAAGCGCUUGCAAUCAGACUUGCCCGCGGGUGAUCAACCGUCCUUCGGGGCGGUGCACUCGCCCGUGGUCAGGCCAGCAUCGGCUCUGGCGGCCGGACAAAGGCCCCGGGAACGUGGCUCCCUUCGGGGAGUGUUAUAGCCCGGGGUGCAAUGCGGCCAGCCGGGACCGAGGACCGCGCUUCGGCUAGGAUGCUGGCAUAAUGGUUGUAAGCGACC
rnacentral:rRNA from 1 species